rnacentral:rRNA from 1 species
CAGCAGUCGCCGCGGUAAUACAGAGGGUGCGAGCGUUAAUCGGAUUUACUGGGCGUAAAGCGUGCGUAGGCGGCUUUUUAAGUCGGAUGUGAAAUCCCUGAGCUUAACUUAGGAAUUGCAUUCGAUACUGGGAAGCUAGAGUAUGGGAGAGGAUGGUAGAAUUCCAGGUGUAGCGGUGAAAUGCGUAGAGAUCUGGAGGAAUACCGAUGGCGAAGGCAGCCAUCUGGCCUAAUACUGACGCUGAGGUACGAAAGCAUGGGGAGCAAACAGGAUUAGAUACCCCGGUAGUCCCUGUCUCUUAUAC